CCUGAGGCAUUUUUUCCUUUUCUGUAGCUAACACAUAGCAAGAGUUCCAGAUGGCUGGUGUUCAGGAAUAUGACAGGCUAUACAUAACCCAUGCUAGCAAGGGGCUAAAUAUACUAAAUUAUUAUUUUUUUCUUUACGGGGGGGCGGGAGGCAGGGGUAGUGGAGUGUAUCUUUAAGAACCAAUAUGUCACACACACAAAAUAAUAUCACUUAAUUAAUUUGCACCUAGUGCCAGAGAAUGCCAGAAAAGGCUAGCAUUCAAUCAAGUGAUUCAUAUAAAAUGUAAAAUGCAAUGACGUAAAGUGCAAAUGUGAUAUUUCUAUGUAGGACAUUGGAGGCGGAAGGGCCCACAGAUAGAACCUUACCAUGGGUAUAUUUAAUACUAACACAGCUAGAAUCAGUAGCCAAUGUACCAAGCUGCUUGUAUAACACAGAGCCGUUCCUUUCAUGUGUAAAUCCCUGUGUUAUCAUUCAUGUACUGGGUAAAGUGAUAUAUCUUUAGUAUCCCGUUCCUAGAGUUUGGUAAGUAAAUGUGGGGCCGCCAAACCGAGAAUAAAUACAUUUUGCAAAGAAGCUUUAUAAAAACUGGGAGGGGGAUCAGCAGGUUACCCAGUGCUGUACCCCCACCUCUGACUCACAUGGUUUAAUGAUUGUGUUUUUUUAUAUUUAUACAAAAACAAGGUAUGAAGAGACUAUAGCAUAACUGAGACAAUAUCAGCCUGGGGGCUAUUCCUCACUGGUACUCCCUCUAGUACCAACAUAAACAUCAAUAUUAUAUGAAAGAGAAUGCACACCAGAACCAAAAAAAACAAUAAUUGGUUAAAC